AACUUUCAACAACGAAUCUCUUGGUUCUGGCAUCGAUGAAGAACGCAGCGAAAUGCGAUGAGCAAUGUGAAGUGCAGAAUUCAGUGAAUCUUCGAAUCUUUGAACGCACAUUGCGCCCGCCGGUAUCCUUGACCAGGUCAGGGUCU
rnacentral:rRNA from 1 species